CCUACGGGAGACAGCAGUGAGGAAUAUUGGUCAAUGGACGAGAGUCUGAACCAGCCAAGUAGCGUGAAGGAUGACUGCCCUAUGGGUUGUAAACUUCUUUUAUAUGGGAAUAAAACGUUCCACGUGUGGGAUUUUGUAUGUACCAUAUGAAUAAGGAUCGGCUAACUCCGUGCCAGCAGCCGCGGUAAUACGGAGGAUCCGAGCGUUAUCCGGAUUUAUUGGGUUUAAAGGGAGCGUAGGUGGAUUGUUAAGUCAGUUGUGAAAGUUUGCGGCUCAACCGUAAAAUUGCAGUUGAAACUGGCAGUCUUGAGUACAGUAGAGGUGUGCGGAAUUCGUGGUGUAGCGGUGAAAUGCUUAGAUAUCACGAAGAACUCCGAUUGCGAAGGCAGUUCACUGGACUGCAACUGACACUGAGGCUCGAAAGUGUGGGUAUCAAACAGGAUUAGAUACCCCGGUAGUC
rnacentral:rRNA from 1 species